AGGGGAUGGAACAGGUAGAUCCAGACUGAGGGCAACAGUCUUCACUAAAGAAGACUGAGGGGCAGAGGUGCUGCGUCUGCUGGCUGAGGAAGCUGAAGACCUGCAGGUAUGCCUACCUUUUCAUUCAUGAUCAUCAUCUGUUUGAUCCUCCCCAUGCUGCUUGCAGCGGACAAGCUCCUUGCCGCGUUCACACAGCUGGUUGUCUAGCUCCUGGUAAACAAAGCGGCAUGGUGAGUAGCAAAUAAAGCACAGUGUGGUGCCUUUAGAUACGACUUGAAUUCAUUUGCGCAAAACAUUCAUGACCCAAAUCAUCGCUCCCCAUUGAAAUGAGUGUGCGUGCCAUAAAUCCGUACCAGCUCCAACCCCAAGGGAUGAUUUUUGCAAAACUAACUUUCUUCCGUCACCAUAACAUCCACAAGGAUCGUAGGCUGCGUUAACUUCAGUUUCAUCGAUAACUAGUCAAACGUGAACUAAGCUUCAUAUCGGUCAUACCUUUGAUUGAAUAGAUGAUAAGUACCACAAGUGGUACAUGCGCUCCCUCUAGUGGUGUUAGAGGGAAUCGCUGAAGCAAAUACAGAUAACACAUGCAGUAUAUUC